CGCGCCGCUUCUCCUUGCUCUUUUCUUGCUCACACACAAACUGCUCUCUGUCACUCCCUAUCUCUCACUAACGCACACUCCUCUACUCUUGUCUGCCGUCGCUGUCCAGCCGUUCAGCAACCGCCAUUCCCUUCUCGUCGUCCGUCGAUGCCUCUAUCCAGAAGCCGCGUCUCUCAGCGUCGUCAUUCUCAGCACCGUUGACCUCAGUAGCCGCAUCAUCUUAGUGCCGUGGUUCUCCAUUAUUCUUAGUUGUGCUCCAUCGUUCUCAGUCUCUCAGCCUUAGUUGUGCUUGAGGUCACUUGUAGGAGGAAGAACAAAGGUUUUGCAUCCCAAAUCAGUCUCAAUCUUCUUAGAAAUGCAAGUGAUAUUGGAUAAUAACUCAAGAUCAGAUGAAAAAUGGGGUUCUUUGUUUGCUGAACAAUGUUUUGCUAUCUUGGUAGAGAACAUCAAAAUAUUGCUGCUUUGCUGGAAAAAUUAAUGGAAGCAACUUUUUUUUUUGUUGUGUUUAAAUUUUUCA